rnacentral:rRNA from 1 species
UACGUAGGGGGCGAGCGUUGUCCGGAGUUACUGGGCGUAAAGCGCUUGUAGGCGGUCCACCAAGUUUGGGGUGACAGUUGCCGACUUAAUCGGCAAAUUGCCUCAAAGACUGGCGGACUUGAGGGCCACAGAGGGACAUGGAACUCCAGGUGUAGUGGUGAAAUGCGUAGAUAUCUGGAAGAACACCAAAGGCGAAGGCAGUGUCCUGGGUGGUCGCUGACGCUGAGAGGCGAAAGCCAGGGGAGCGAAUGGG